GGCUCCGUGGCACAAUGGAUAGCAUUGGACUUCUAGACAGAGGCAUUCAAAGGUUGUAGGUUCGAGUCCCACCAGAGUUG
rnacentral:tRNA from 1 species